UCAGAGUACACUAUGGGUGUGUGCAAAGCACUUGAGAUAAGAGGAAGAAGCUAAGGACAGAACCGAGGAGGGCUCCGUCAGUUGCUGAGGUGAGAGAAAAGCCAGUGCUCCCCGAGAAUUGGCCAUGCUGGGACUGGGAGCACCCAACAGGAAGCCAACCAGCCAGCCUUUCCAGUGAGCCACCCAAGCUGCAUGGGUUCCAGAAAGAGAAAAGUCAGAUGGAACUCCCGAGAGCCUACCGUACACAGGCUAGGAAUCAACCUUCCCCCAUCAGCAACAGGGCGGUCAGAG
rnacentral:lncRNA from 1 species